UCUACAAAAAAUCAUUUAAAAAUUACCUGGGCAUGGCUGCGGGCACCUGCGGUUCCAGCUACUCAGGAGGCUGAGAUGGGAGGAUCGCUGGAGCCCAGGAAUUUGAGGCUACAGUGAGCUAUGUUCGUGUCACUGCAUUCCAGCUUGGGCAACAGCGAGACCUGUCUCAAAACAAAACAAACAAAAACAGGCAGGCAAAGAGGCAAAGAAGCAGAAAAACAGAACCCAUAAUAAGUUGAAAAAUCACGAAGACCCAGAAAUGGCACAGAUGAGAUGAUGGAAUUAGUGAUCAGGAUGUUCAAACAGCUAUUGUGAAUAUUCCCCAUAUGUUCAAGAAGAAUGGAGAAUGAACGAGAGUGAGGGACCCGAAACGACUGUGUUCCAUGCUGAGGGUGGCAGAGGCUGGCCUGGAUGCUGGAUGAGGCUGGAUGAGGCUCAACUUGGGGGGCCUGGGCUGCUGCACUGGGGCUGGACUGGGGAUCACGGAAGAGUGCCAGGGCCGCGUGGGACUCCAGGGCCGUGUUCAAGGGCGUGGUCUUCUGCAUUGGGGGAGUGGCUGGUGAGUGGAGACUGCUGCGAUUCUGGGGGCGUGGCUGAUAAUGGGUGUGACUAUAUCCUAGGGGCGUGGCAAUUGCUUAGGGCUUGGGUGAGGCGUUAACAGUGGGUGGGCACGGCUCUGACUCGAGGGGAGUGGUCAGCACGCAGGGGCGUGGCUCGGGCUCGCGGAGUCGUCCGAGAUUCAGGGCAGCUCCCGGGCAGAAGUGUCCGGAUCUAACCGUCCCUGGGGAGUCGGAGACCCGUGGCCGGUUUGUGGGCUGACUCAGGGCUGCUAAGGAGACACAGGCGGACCGUGGGGGCAGGUGAACGGGGCUAGACAUGCGAUCCUGGCACGCAGAAGUUGAGGGCAGAGAGGAAAGGGCAGAGAGGGGGGCGGGGCCUCUGACGCUCGCCUGGUUCCCCCAGCCGCCGGACCCACAGGCCAUGUGGCCUCCGCUGUUGCUGCUGCUGCUACUGCUCCCUUCCGCCCCGGUCCCCACCCUCAAGGCCGCUCCGCUCCUGGAUGCUAACACCCAGGAAGGCUUUCAGAACCUGCUCCAAGGAGUCCAGGCUGGCGGAGACAGAGAGCUGCGGGCAGUCUCAUACCUGGCCCCGGGCUCUGCCUGUAGUAAUGGAGCUGUGGUGGCCGUGCGACCCCCAAGCCAGGGAGGAAGACCUGCGGCUCCGUGAGAGGCGUCCAGGGCUGCAGGCCAAGGCGACAGGCUCCGGGGGACAUGGGGCUUCCCCUGUUCACUUCCAAGGAGGGUGGGCAUCAAUGCAUUGGCAGGGGAUGGCCCUGUGCCCUGCCAGGGUCUCCACCCCCAGCACCAUUUAUUAGAAAUAAUAAAGUUCUUUCUUAGCUAGUGGUGCUGUUUCUU
rnacentral:lncRNA from 13 species